rnacentral:rRNA from 1 species
CCUACGGGGGACAGCAGUGAGGAAUAUUGGUCAAUGGACGAGAGUCUGAACCAGCCAAGUAGCGUGAAGGAUGACUGCCCUAUGGGUUGUAAACUUCUUUUAUAAAGGAAUAAAACGAGGCACGUGUGCCCUUUUGCAUGUACUUUAUGAAUAAGGCUCCGCCUACUCCGUGCCAGCAGCCGCGGUAAUACGGAGGAUCCGAGCGUUAUCCGGAUUUAUUGGGUUUAAAGGGAGCGUAGAGGGGUUGUAAAGUCCGUUGUGAAAGUUUGGGGCGCAACCGUAAAAGUGCAAUUGAUACUGGCAGUCUUGAGUACAGGUGAGGUAGGCGGAAUUCGUGGUGUAGCGGUGAAAUGCAUAGAUAUCACGAAGAACCCCGAUUGCGAAGGCAGCUUACUAAACUGUGACUGACGUUGAUGCUCGAAAGUGUGGGUAUCAAACAGGAUUAGAUACCCCUGUAGUC